rnacentral:lncRNA from 1 species
GCUUUUGAAGAUUUUUCGUCAUAACAACAGUUUUCUUUUCUUGACUAUCAUUAAAAGAAGGAUCGAGAGGAAGCGUCAAAAUUUUGCUUCAACACGUGCGUCGCAAAGUGGCAAAAUCCUGUUUGUGACAUGUGACGGACGACAUUUAACCAUAUCAUUUCAUAUAAUACAAUCAACACCUUUAUUAAUUAGUCCUUUGAUG